AGAAAAGUAAGUUAAUUAAGACUAAUUGGUUCAUGUCCACUCUGUACAUAUUUUAUGUCUUUUCUA
rnacentral:tRNA from 1 species